rnacentral:rRNA from 1 species
UCAGUCGUACUAACGGGAAAUCAGCCUAUUUGAGUUGUGAAUUUUGGAUUUUGAAGAGUGUAAACCUUUGGGUUCAAAUAUUUGCGCUUUUUAGGCGUAAUUUCUCGUUCGGUAGGUUAACAUCGAUUUUGAAGAUUAUAAAAUGACCGGAGGAAUGUAGCUUCGAUCUCGUAUUGAAGUGUUAUAGCCUUUGGUAGAUGUAAUGAUCAAGAUCGAGGAUUGCAACGAAUACCCUUUGGGCUAUCCGUCUGAUCUCUGAUACGUUACCUUGGUAACGAAAGCUUGCUUACGGUAUUGAGGUAUAACGGUCAAAAGGUUAGAACGUGAUUACA